rnacentral:rRNA from 1 species
AACGAACGCUGGCGGCAGGCCUAACACAUGCAAGUCGAACGCCCCGCAAGGGGAGUGGCAGCCGGGUGAGUACCACGUGGGAACCUUCCCUAUAGUACGGAAUAGCCCAGGGAAACUUGGAGUAAUACCGUAUACGCCCGAAAGGGGAAAGAAUUUCGCUAUAGGAUGGGCCCGCGUAGGAUUAGCUAGUUGGUGAGGUAAUGGCUCACCAAGGCGACGAUCCUUAGCUGGUUUGAGAGAACGACCAGCCACACUGGGACUGAGACACGGCCCAGACUCCUACGGGAGGCAGCAGUGGGGAAUAUUGGACAAUGGGCGCAAGCCUGAUCCAGCCAUGCCGCGUGAGUGAUGAAGGCCUUAGGGUUGUAAAGCUCUUUUGGCGGGGACGAUAAUGACGGUACCCGCAGAAUAAGUCCCGGCUAACUUCGUG